GUUUUAAUAAUUUAACUAAAAUAUUGGUCUUGUAAAUCAAAAAUAAGGAAUAGCCUUUUAAAACU
rnacentral:tRNA from 2 species